UUUCCUUAAAACAUUGGGGACAAUGUUUCAUUUAAGUAUGGGGGGAAAACCGUGUUCUUUCUAUCCUCCCUUUUUCAAGUAUGUACCUUUCUUUUCAUUGUUAUUUCCCUUGAAAUUAUAUUUAAAAAAAAAGAAUUUUAAAAAAAAUAAAAUAAAAAAAUAAUAUAUAUUUUAUUAUAAUAUAGAUUUAUUUUAAGUUAAGUCCCUAAUGUGAAAAAAAUUUCUAUUAUCUAUUCCCUCAAAAUUUUCAUGAGCCAUAACAAAAAUUCAACACACUCAGUAAGUAUAAAUGUUGCUUAAUUUAUCGAACUU
rnacentral:lncRNA from 1 species